UCGAUCCGUGGGAUUUGUUAUCAUUGGCUCUCGAGUAUCCAAGGUUUAAUUUUUGGUCUCGCUUAUGUGUUUUCUCAUGUGCUUCUUCGUAUGAAGCGGCAAGUGAUAUGACUCUCUCUUGCCCUUCCCUUAAUCAUCAUAAAUAAUUAAUCAUAGCAGUAAUUACGAUCCCUAUAAUUUAUUCGCAUUAAUAUCUCUCCCUCGAUUAUUCGGUUCGGUUUAUUGCGUCGGUCAUCCGAUUAUGAAAUUUUAAACAAACACCACUCGAUUCAGUUCGGUCUGGGUCGGUUUAACUUUUAAUUUCUAGGGUUUCUGAUUUAGGGGUGAAAGUGGGUGUAUGUAUAGUAUAUAUUAGCUCCUCCUUCAUCGCCGCGUAGCUAAAGCACAUUGAUUGAUUGAUCCUUCAAAUCAUCCCAUGAAUAUUCUUUGCGCUUUUACGUAUCAUCAUCUUUGUCGAUUCGAAUGAGUUUGGGUUUUAGAGGUUGUUUUAUUAAGUUAUAGUUUCCAAUUAGAAAAAAAAAGUAUUUUGAUGAAUUGAUUAGAGUUUUGUUUAGAACUUUGUGAUGGUGCAGAGAGGGAGAGAGCAAAUGAUGGGAUACACUUGAUCUCUGAAUUUUAACAGGAUUUGAAGUUAAAGGAAUCAGGGAAAGAGGGGGAGCAAGUGUUGUUUUUUACUUGUAACGACAGUAGCAUGAUUCAACUCUUACUAUAUUCUUUUCAUUCUUUGAUUUUCGUUUUAACGCCAGUCUGUACAUAUGAGUAUAUCACUUCUGCAUUUCAUUCAUAUUCCAUAUUUAGUUCAAGCUACGAUGUAAUUGAUGUGCUACUCUGAGAAGCUGUUCUUUUGUAUUUCAGAAAUUAGUUCAUU